UGAACGCUAGCUACAGGCUUAACACAUGCAAGUCGAGGGGCAGCAUGGUCUUAGCUUGCUAAGGCCGAUGGCGACCGGCGCACGGGUGAGUAACACGUAUCCAACCUGCCGUCUACUCUUGGACAGCCUUCUGAAAGGAAGAUUAAUACAAGAUGGCAUCAUGAGUCCGCAUGUUCACAUGAUUAAAGGUAUUCCGGUAGACGAUGGGGAUGCGUUCCAUUAGAUAGUAGGCGGGGUAACGGCCCACCUAGUCUUCGAUGGAUAGGGGUUCUGAGAGGAAGGUCCCCCACAUUGGAACUGAGACACGGUCCAAACUCCUACGGGAGGCAGCAGUGAGGAAUAUUGGUCAAUGGGCGAGAGCCUGAACCAGCCAAGUAGCGUGAAGGAUGACUGCCCUAUGGGUUGUAAACUUCUUUUAUAAAGGAAUAAAGUCGGGUAUGGAUACCCGUUUGCAUGUACUUUAUGAAUAAGGAUCGGCUAACUCCGUGCCAGCAGCCGCGGUAAUACGGAGGAUCCGAGCGUUAUCCGGAUUUAUUGGGUUUAAAGGGAGCGUAGAUGGAUGUUUAAGUCAGUUGUGAAAGUUUGCGGCUCAACCGUAAAAUUGCAGUUGAUACUGGAUAUCUUGAGUGCAGUUGAGGCAGGCGGAAUUCGUGGUGUAGCGGUGAAAUGCUUAGAUAUCACGAAGAACUCCGAUUGCGAAGGCAGCCUGCUAAGCUGCAACUGACAUUGAGGCUCGAAAGUGUGGGUAUCAAACAGGAUUAGAUACCCUGGUAGUCCACACGGUAAACGAUGAAUACUCGCUGUUUGCGAUAUACUGCAAGCGGCCAAGCGAAAGCGUUAAGUAUUCCACCUGGGGAGUACGCCGGCAACGGUGAAACUCAAAGGAAUUGACGGGGGCCCGCACAAGCGGAGGAACAUGUGGUUUAAUUCGAUGAUACGCGAGGAACCUUACCCGGGCUUAAAUUGCAGAUGAAUUACGGUGAAAGCCGUAAGCCGCAAGGCAUCUGUGAAGGUGCUGCAUGGUUGUCGUCAGCUCGUGCCGUGAGGUGUCGGCUUAAGUGCCAUAACGAGCGCAACCCUUGUUGUCAGUUACUAACAGGUUCCGCUGAGGACUCUGACAAGACUGCCAUCGUAAGAUGUGAGGAAGGUGGGGAUGACGUCAAAUCAGCACGGCCCUUACGUCCGGGGCUACACACGUGUUACAAUGGGGGGUACAGAGGGCCGCUACCACGCGAGUGGAUGCCAAUCCCCAAAACCUCUCUCAGUUCGGACUGGAGUCUGCAACCCGACUCCACGAAGCUGGAUUCGCUAGUAAUCGCGCAUCAGCCACGGCGCGGUGAAUACGUUCCCGGGCCUUGUACACACCGCCCGUCAAGCCAUGGGAGCCGGGGGUACCUGAAGUGCGUAACCGCGAGGAGCGCCCUAGGGUAAAACUGGUGACUGG
rnacentral:rRNA from 1 species